ensembl:lncRNA
AGUCAUGUCUGGUGUCAUGAUGUCAUUAGUUAUGUCUGGUGUCAUGAUGUCAUUAGUCAUGUCUGGUGUCAUGAUGCUAUUAGUGGGGUAACGAUGAUCCAAGCAAUGAUGAGUUUUCUGAUGUGUCCAGAUAACCCUGUCUUUUCAGACUGGGUCAGACUAGGGCUGCAGCUCCUCUAACAGACACUAGGGGGCAGCACAGACCACCCUGGAGAAUAGAUGGGAAAGAGUCAGAGGUGGUGAGUAAGAAUCAGAGCGAUACAGAGGGAGUGAGACAGAUAGAUAGAGGGAGAUACAGAUAGAUAGAGGGAGUCAUACAGAUACAGAGGGAGUGAGACAGAUAGAUAAAGGGAGUGAGAGAGAUACAGAGGGAUUCAGAGAGAUACAGAGGGAGUGAGACAGAUAGAUAAAGGGAGUCAGAGAGAUACUGAGGGAGUGAGAGAGAUACUGAGGGAGUGAGAGAGAUACAGAGAGAGUGAGACAGAUAGAUAGAGGGAGUCAGAGCGAUACUGAGGGAGUGAGAGCGAUAUAGAGGCUCAAACUAAUUUCUUUAAACCUAAAAGACAAUGGACCUCAUCCUCAAACACAGUUAAGAAAAAGUUAAGAAGACUUUUCUUGUUAACUCAACUUACAAAGUUCCCGGGACAAUUCUGGCAUUCAUGACAGUUUUCUUAUCUGGGUUUCUUUCUUAGCUAAGAACAGGAUUUAAAAACGCGGAAAAGCAGCCUUUGUUCUUAAGGGCUGAAUUUGUGAGAAAUGAUUGGUGAUUGCGUUCACCUCAAUUAUACAGACAUCAUCGGAUUUAAAUAAUUAUAAUAAAAAUAAAUACGAGAAUAUUUGUAUCAUUAACAAUUACAUUUCCUGUCCUACAAUAAAUAAAAGCACUACAAUAAAUGAAAUAAAUAAGCACUAAACUCAAUAGCGUGGACAUAGCCAUAGUGGAAUAGAAUGGACACAUCUACAUUCUGCAACAGUACCUCCACCUCUGCACCGGUGAAGUUAGGUCUGUGUUUACUGGCAAGUGCACCACCGGUGUUGGCUUUCCGCUUUGACAUGAUUUUGAUCAGUCUCAAGUUGCUUUCGCGUUGCCUGUAGAUUCUGUGUGCACACGUCUCUAUAGUUGCAUGCCCUUAUAAGGAGCUGGCGGGGCGUUUAUGUAUGCAAAUGCAGGUGUACGAGAAUGCAAAGGUCGAAAGAAGAUAUUUAAGAAGACACUUAAGAAAAUGUUUGAGAAUG